rnacentral:rRNA from 1 species
UGAGGAAUAUUGGGCAAUGCCCGCAAGGGUGACCCAGCAACGCCGCGUGGAGGAUGAAUGUCGUAAGAUUGUAAACUCCUGUUAGAGGGGAAGAAUAACUAAGUUUGGAGCUUAGUAUGACUGUACCCUCAGAGAAAGCCCCGGCUAACUACGUGCCAGCAGCCGCGGUAAUACGUAGGGUGCAAGCGUUAAUCGGAAUUACUGGGCGUAAAGCGUGCGCAGGCGGUUUUGUAAGACAGAGGUGAAAUCCCCGGGCUCAACCUGGGAACUGCCUUUGUGACUGCAAAGCUGGAGUGCGGCAGAGGGAGAUGGAAUUCCGCGUGUAGCAGUGAAAUGCGUAGAUAUGCGGAGGAACACCGAUGGCGAAGGCAAUCCCCUGGGCCUGCACUGACGCUCAUGCACGAAAGCGUGGGGAGCAAACA